rnacentral:lncRNA from 1 species
CCCUAAUUAACUCUUCCUAUAAAUUCAGAUCAGAUGCGGCUGUGGAGAAACAAAACCCAAUGGAGUCCCUCCUCUCCCAUUUUCAAUUUUUUCUAUUGCAGCUGAUUUUGUUUUCCUUUGUUAUUUGUUAUUUGUUUUUCUGGAUUUCGAUAUUUGUUGUGCAUACUGCAUAGUAUGAGAUCACGAUGAUGACUCCAUAAAAUUCAAGCUCAACAGACCGCAGUGCAGUGCUUUCUUCUCUUUCGAGAGAUUGCUUUGCGUGUCGAUAACCCCGCUGAACUGAGUGAUCUAUCUCAUUUAUAUAUAUAUAUAUAUUUUCAAUUUUGUUGGGGAUUAAAAAUUGUUGACCGUGAGGAUACAAAGCUCCCUCUUCUGAUUUUAAGGUGAGGUCAAUUGCAGGCAGAAUCGAACCUAAAUUAAUCUAGCCACCACU